rnacentral:rRNA from 1 species
CUUCUGGAGUUUGGCAGAGGGGGGUGGAAUUCCACGUGUAGCAGUGAAAUGCGUAGAGAUGUGGAGGAACACCAAUGGCGAAGGCAGCCCCCUGGGUCGAUACUGACGCUCAUGCACGAAAGCGUGGGUAGCAAACAGGAUUAGAUACCCUGGUAGUCCACGCCCUAAACGAUGUCAACUAGGUGUUGGGAGGGUAAAACCUUUUAGUGCCGUAGCUAACG